rnacentral:tRNA from 1 species
AGGGAUUUAAUGUAAUGGUAGCAUGACAGCCUCCAAAACUGUUAGUAAGGGUUCAAGUCCUUUAAUCCCUGCCA